rnacentral:rRNA from 1 species
GACCUGAUAACGAGUUUUUUUUUUUUAGGAGGGACUCGAUACCGUGGUGUGUCAAGUAGAGUGAGAGAGUCGAGCUCAUGCAAGGUCAGGGGCGGCGAAGGGAAGGUAGCUGUCGCAACGGCGUUGGAGGAGAGGGGAGGUGCCUCUGUCAACCGGGGAGGAGAGGGGCGGUAAAGAGGAGGUGCGGCGCGUGGACAACAGCGAGCGUAGGAGGUGACUGGCGGUGCCACCGAGCUAACCAAGCUAGACCGCCGCCACCCACCACCGCUUCGAAUCGCGCUGCUGCCUCGGAACGAGGCCGUGAUGGUUCUUUAGAAGCGAGCAGCGGGUAGAAAGAGGUAAACGAUCGUGGUGGAUUGUAGCGGCCACCGCCGUUGGUGUGUCCGCGGUUGUUCUCCUUAGCGCUCCGCCGCCCCUACGGAUUCGUUCGGUUCGCUUUAUUCGGGAUGUUUCUGGUGCGCCGCACACCGUCGCCGCUGCGGUUUCCCUUCGGCGUUGGGCAGUGUCGGUUCCUGUUAGCCCAGCAUCGUUUCUGGAUCUUUUCCCUCGUUAUAGUGUGGUACGUCUCCUUUGGUUGUAAAGGAUGAACUACGUGUUAGUUAAAUACAAGCUUUGUUCCACUCUAUUUAAAGUUGUGUAGAUCUACCCCUCCCACAGUUCUCGUCGCGGACGAACACGAAGUCUUCACUUCUACGUACGUAGCGGAGUUUCAGUCAGUGCAGCUACUCCUUCCAGCCCAGCCUCCGUAGUCGUUACUCCUAAUCAUGUAACCCCGGUCACUGACCGUGGUGCUAUUGUUGUUUGUUUAGUUAGUUCACUAAACUCGUUUAUAAAUCUAAACCUUAGUAACAUAACAUUGAUGUUUGACCUAGUUUGUUAGCUCUCUAAGCUCGUUUCUAAGCUUAAUCCUAAGUAACAUAACAUUGUUGUUUGACCUAGUUUGUUAGCUCUCUAAGGUCACUUCUAAACCUAAACCUUUGUACCCUCUUAAGUA